GUUACUGACAAUUUUCACUCAAGAAGCCGCUGAAAAACCUUCUCCUGCUCCGCCCCUCCAAUAACAUUCGAUCAAAAAUGCAAUGCGAUGUGUGUUUGGCCAGCCUCCCACCUAUUUUGCAUACCUUCCCCUAAUUGAUUUGAUGUUGGAAUUGGUGUUCUCGGAAAUGAUAUAUUCACUUAUUCAGAAUUUGAAGGGAUCUGUGUUCUUGGAGGUUCAAUCGACUAAGUGAAUCGAUUGAAAAGUAUAUCUCCUCUUCCGCUGAAUCUUUUUCUCUGAUAGCACGAUUUUGUUCACGUUCAACACCACUGCCACCGUUCACCAACACUGCCGUCGUUCUUUCUCCUUUUCUUUUAUGAUGGCUCUCAGUGUGUUGAGGACCGGCAAAACAUGAAAACUUGGAUCAAAAUCUUUUGCAGUAUUACCCUAGUCCAGGUGUCUGUUUUCACCACUGUAUAUACGUGGUGCCAAGGCCACCCGAGGUUCAGAAGGCCGAAGUGCAUGCAUGCUAGAUUAAAGAUAACCGCUGCAGUUUUUGAGUUCAUGUAUCUCACAUUGACCAUUUGCAUGCUUACUUUAUAUUGGAGAGCAAGAUUCCACCCUUGGAAUUACUUGCCUACUGGAAUUGCCCAAUGUUCUCUAAUCUACUCAGGCUACCUUGCUCUCCUUUUUUUACUUUUGAUGGACUGUGUGUGAAGACUAACCAAAUCAAUUGGUUAAUGAUUAUUGCAUCUGUUAUCGGUAUCUUUGUUAUUGGAAUAUGCGGUCUAAUACUAACAAUUUAUUAAAACUACAUUACAUCAAUAACACAUAAUACACGCAGCUUUGAGAGACGCUAUGUGGAUCUUGACUCUACGAAUAUCCUUCAACUGCUGGUAUCCAUAAGGGAUGUACUUUUCUGUCCAUAUCCGCCAUGUGAACGUAAAGGAGGAGUUAUCGUUGCUAUACAACGAGAUUACAAUCAUAAGAUCUUUCUAGACUAUGAUCUAUACAAUGAACCACCCACCCAAGGGAGUUGGGGAUCAAGGACUCUAUUGUUUGGCAUGGACCAAGUCAACAAUUUUUCUAAGGGGAGCACGUCCGUCUAGAGAAGAAAAAAGGAAAACAGAUAACAAAAGAAAACGUACAAGGACUUAAAAAACUCAACUAACAUAUAAGAACUUAGCUUAUUUUGGACCCUUUGGCACAUUAGUCCUAUUUAUUUGUUGUGAGUAUUCUAUAUGGUUUUCGAUA